AUUGAACGCUGGCGGCAGGCCUAACACAUGCAAGUCGAACGAGUGGCGGACGGGUGAGUAAUGUCUGGGAAACUGCCUGAUGGAGGGGGAUAACUACUGGAAACGGUAGCUAAUACCGCCUACCAUCGGAUGUGCCCAGAUGGGAUUAGCUAGUAGGUGGGGUAAAGGCUCACCUAGGCGACGAUCCCUAGCUGGUCUGAGAGGAUGACCAGCCACACAGGGACUGGGACCAGGGCCAGACCCCCACGGGAGGGCGGCGGUGGGAAUAUUGGACCAUGGGGGGAAGCCUGACUGCGCCUAGCCCGCUGUUAGAAGGAUGGCUUUCGGUUGUAAAGGUUUUUUCGCCGGGAAGCGUUACCCGCAGAAGAAGCACCGGCUAACUCCGUGCCAGCAGCCGCGGUAAUAC
rnacentral:rRNA from 1 species